GGAUGCAGAUUUUACUAGUAGGCUAGUUAUUGGAGUGACACAUUCAGGCCAGGCAAAAAACCCCAUGGAGGGUAUGAAACAAGCCUGGUGAGAAAUGUGGCUUGGGGAGAGGAAUCUGCUGCUUGGAAGGAGCUGUGGCUCAAGGAAAGUCCCAAGGGGCUGUUGGUUAGGUCAGGAGGCUCUGGGCCUGAUGUUCCCCACCCCAGGUAUAGCCAAUAAAAGUUGUUGUCUUGUUUGUACCCAGCUCAUGUGGUGUUCUUCUCUCCACCCCCAGCUUGAUUCUCCGCCUAGUCCAUUGCAGACACAAUAUACCAUGCAUGGUACUCAAAUGUUUCAUUUUAAGAACCCGAGCACAUGCAACAUCCUGGCAACCCAUCCUCAUGAGCUUCCUUGGAAAGUGUUCUACCUCUUAGGAUUUUCCUAUAUAAGUAAUAAGAACACGAAAGCCAGUGUGGUGGCGUGGUUAAGAGCGGUAGUCUUGUAAUCUGGUGAACCGGGUUCGCGUUUCCGCUCCUCCACAUGCAGGGGCUGGGUGACCUUGGACUAGUCACACUUCUCUGAAGUCUCUCAGCCUCAUUCACCUCAAAGAGUGUUUGUUGUGGGGGAGGAAGGGAAAGGAGAAUGUCAGCCGCUUUGAGACUCCUUAGGGUAGUGAUAAAGCAGGAUAUCAAAUCCAAACUCUUCUUCUUCUUCUCUCCCUCAUGCAGAUUUCCUUGGUGUUCUCACUGGGCUUGUGCUGCUUUUUUAAAAAUGGCCAUUUCCUAAUCUGAUGCGCUCGAUGCACAAAACACAAUGAUUAUGUUCAAAUGCAACUAGGGUUGCAAGAUCUGCAGGGCUGACGUGAAGACUCCAGGUUUGCUUGACCCCUGUCCAGGUGGCAGGUGGAGGGCUUAAAUCUCCAGGUGGGUGAGAAUGCCUUUAUUUAUUUUUUAAUCAAGAAGACUGCAUUCACCUUGCAAGCUUCAACCUGGCAGCAACCAACUGCAAAUUGUAGCACAGAUUCUCUGGGGGAGCUGCCCCGCUCUGCUCCCUCCUUCCCAUUCCCAAUUAACUUCCAUCUCUAGGGUUCAGAGGUGAGAGGAAGGAAGCCCAGAGGAACAAAAGGAGCAGAGCUGGGCUCAAGAGGAAGAGGAGCUCAAGAGGACUGCACAUGCAUGCCUGGCAUGAGAUGUAGGGUUGCAGAAGUGAUGAGUCAUGCUUAAUGGCAUUACCUGGGCCUACCCCCUGUGACAUCAUUGGGGCCAUUCCCAUGACACCACCAGAGGCUGCCUCUAGGUCUCAGGUUUGGGUCCUGAAAUCUCAGGGUCUGGGGGGGGCUCAAUCUAACUAGUGAGGUAAAAGCAAAAUAAAUAUUGAAUAUCUUCCUUAAUAUUUUAUAAUCCAUGUGAAAAGACAGGAAGAAAGCAGCACAGCAAUGGGUCCUUGGUAGAAUUCUGCACUAGUUCUCUGCAUUUGACUUAUUUAUGUCUUUACUGAAGUACCAGCUAAAAUCUUAAUUGUGUUUGAAAUCCACCUACAUAUUAAAUAGCAUGUACUGAACAACGCAAGUAAUUUCUUGCAGUAGCUGACCUCACCACCAGGUUUGCAUUUCUGUUAUCUUCACUGAUUUAAACUACUGAUCUCAGAACUCCACUGAUCUUUUGUUCUCUUAGAGUUCCCAAGCAAUGCUGGGAAUGAGGUUGUUGGUUGUUUAAUAACAGCAACAAUGAAAUACCAUUACUGACUGUUGAUAUUACUGGCUUUGAGCUCAGGUCAGUUCUGUUAAUAAAAAAUGAAUUCCUAGACUCAGAAAACAUUCAAAAGCAUUUGGUUCCUUAAUCCUAAUGAUAGGUCUUUUACACCUGGUUCUCGGGUUUCACUAAAAUAUACAGAGACAAAUUGGGAAGCCUCUAGUCUCCUGUAGAGAGAAAGUCCAAGGAUGAGGGAAGUCAAGGGGAGGCAGGUGAGAGAGAGGUCCUAGUUAGGUGUCUUCUUAGCAGCAGGAAGACAACUGAACAGGUGCAAUUAGCCUGAUUAGGAGCAUCACUCUAUGAAAAUACAUAAUUGUGCACACACAGCAGUAUGAUAACGAUAAUUUUUGAUCUGCAGCAUAGUGCAAGGGAACAGAUCAGACCCUAUGGUCAGUGCAUACUGUCCAAUUAUUCCGUGCAAUUGUGGGCACAUUUUUGGGCACAUUACUACAAGGAGUAAGCAUAACGUGAUUUGGACUUUUCAUGCAGGAACCUCAUGCUCCCAAUGACGAACUCUUUCCAGAAGUUAUAAUCAUGGAGAUGGGAUGGCUGCUGGUUCCCCGAGUGUUCAUUCCCACUUCACUCAUGCUUUGUACCUCAUUGUCAUAAAUGCAUGAGUGAUUUGGAAAUGUGAAUUGACACUGAGACCCUCACUGGUCAUCUUCAAGCAUCCAACAAGGUGGAUGCAUACAAAGAGAACAGUCAUUGGACAUAGGAUGCUGCCUUAUAUCAGAUCAGACUGAACAACCAUCUAGCCCAGGGCUGUCUAUUUUGACUCGGAGUAGUUCUCCAGGUAGUCUCAAAUCCAUCAGGUGCUCCCCUGACCCUUUUAACUGAAGAUACUAAGAACUGAACUUGGGACCUUCUGCAUAGGAAACUUGUCUUCUGCCUUUAAGCUAUGAUCCCUUCACCCUCACUACUGAUGUGGAUUUUGAAUGGGACAGGCAUGGUAUAGGAACAUAGGCGCCAACUCUAUAGGGCUGAGGUUUCUUCAGCCCCCCAAUGUCUGUUGGGAUGGGGCUGAGCCCUCCCAAUCUUGAUGAGGCAGAGGAACCCAGCUCUGUGCUUGGUCUCCUCCUGACGGUCUGCCUCCUCCUGAUGCGACAGUCAGCCCCUAGUCCUGCUGCACCCCCUUGUUCCCUAAGAAACCCCCCAGUGGUCUCUCUUUCUCUCAUAGGGAAAACCCACAUCACUGCAGCCCAUCCAAUGUUGGGUGCAGCUCUGCGCCUCCAGAUAGGAACCCCUAAUUUAGAUGUCUUUAAAAUAGGAUUGGACAAAUUCAUAGAGGAGAGGGCUAUUGAUGGUCAUGAUGGCUACGCUCUGCCUCUACAGUUGGAGGCAGCAUUGCUUCUGAAUACCAGUUGCUGGAAAUCACUGGAGGGAAAACACUCUUGUGCUCAAAUCCUGCUUUCCUGUUUCCCACAGGCAUCUGGUUGGCCACUGUGGGGACAGGAUGCUGGACUAGAUGGGCCAUUGGCCUCAUCCAGCAGACUCUUCUUAUGUUCUUAAACCUGCAAGAUGCCCACUGAAAUAAAAGGCGCAUGGUACAGGUUGCAGCCUAGCUGCUGAAUUUGUGCAGAGUCCAUCUGCAGCAACGGACUGUUCAUUUGAGCUGGCAGCCAACAUGCCAAUUUGUAUUUCAUUUUGCCAUGGAUUAAAACCAUCAUUGCAGAUCCUCUGAAAAUAUAAGCACCGGUUGGUACUAAGAAGCAACUUGCCCUUUUCUGCUGCACAACAGAACAUCAAACCAACAAUCCUGUAAAAUCGCAACAUGAUUGUUUUGUCAUAAUCCCUCCUAGAUUGACACCAGUAGCUAUUUUUCUAACAAUGUGUACUUCAACUGUUAUUUACUGGAUGCUAAAAUGGCCUAAUCAGUGCUGGCAGUGAUUUUGUCUAUCCCCAGCAACCAUCUUUAUCUGUGAUUUUGGCAGGCCUUUGUAUGCAUACGCCUCACAAUCCCUCUCUCUCUCCCUCUCUCGUGUUGGAUCUUUUUAAAAUUUAGACUCGACUUCUAAAUAUUUGCUUUAUAGCAUUAACACUCUGGCCUGUAAUUGAUUAAAUUAUACAUACUUUUUUUUUUUUUGCAGCUUUAACUAAUAACUUAAAAUAAAUAAGAUUGUAAUUAUCAGUUUCCAUUUACCCAUUUAUUAAAUCGCAAGGUUCACACCAAGCAGCCAGGCUUUUGUGUUAUAAUAAGGCAAUCUCUCUGUGAUGACAGAUGGUGUUUCAUUUUGCCGACGCUGUGCUAAAGUGCUGUGAGUUGUGAUGUGUUUGAUUUUAUUAGAGAUCAGAUUUAACACAUGCAUGCUACAUAACUGGAACAGCAUUCCCAUUUCUCAUCUGUGGGAGAAAAUGAAACUGUGAUGAAAUGUAAUAUACUCACCCUCAGGCAGAACUAGUUGGAUUGGGAAUUGCAACAUAAUAAAUCUAAUGGAUAUUGCACUACAGGACUCUAGAAAUUUACUGUUAUUAUGUUCAGAGAAGGAACAUGCUUUUGUAAAACUCUACUCCUAUUUUGCUGGCAUUGCUGCAAUUUCACAUUAUUUAACUACCAAGUCCCAACAGUUGGAUGCUUUGAAAAGUAACCUAAACUCUGAGGAACACAUCAGUCAAGGAGCUCAGGAGAGAAAUAAUCGUAAAUGUCUGAACAAUAAAGUAAGUGCAACUAUAGUCGACUCCUACUGAAAGACGGCCCACUCCAAGAAAUGUCCAUUUAGGGGGAGGGAGUGUUCUCAUCAAAGGUGAGGCCAAGUUGUGGCUUCAUGGCUGGUGAUGCAGAAGUCUUGGGGAAAUUGAUCGUGCGUGAAAGAAAAGAUUUGGAAGCUGAAUUCAAAAAAGAUGCAUUUGCUUUACCUCAAAGCUCAGGCACUAGAGGAUACAGGACAGUCCCAUACUCAGUCUGCACCAAGUGAUUUCUGAGGAGCCAGUUCAGAGUCAUUGGUUUUAUAGGCCUAUGUGGAACCCAGUUGGCUCCUCGUGUCACCUGACACCUCUUGGGGUAGAAUUUGGCUGUAUUGCCUUCUGGCCCCCUGCGCUGGUGGUGUUGCAAUUCUACAGAGAUCAAGAUAGCAGCUCCUUCUCCAUAUAAGCUGCCACUGUAUUGAAGAGAGGAAAGUGCCUUGACUCUGCUGUCAGAGCUCCUCACUACCACCAUUCAAUUCUACAGGCUCUUUAUUAGGUGGGGGUAAGGCUCUUUGGAUUAGGAAAGAAGGGAGCUGCCUUAAACUGAGUCAGUCAAUUGGUCCAUCUCGUGCAAUAUUGACUACAUUGACUGGAAACAGCUCUCCAGGGUUUCGGGUGGGACAUUCCCAGCCAUACCUGGAGAUGCUGGGGAUUGAACCUGGGACCUUCUGUAUGGAAAGCAGAUGCUCUGCCACUGAGCUACAGCCUUAUCUGUCCAACUUCUUGUGUUCCAGGUCUUUCUGUCUGAUUUUGCAUCGGCACUUAUUAUAUUGGAUUUUUUUCACCCGUUUAAUGCUAACCCUCACUACACUAAUAACAAACCACAUCCUCAUCCUGGUAUCAUUCAUUUUAUGCAAUCUGAAAUGUAAUCAUUUUAUGUAAUCUGAAAUAAGGAGGUUGUUCUAUAACACUUUGCCCCCUUUUAGCAUCACUGAAAGUUCAUUGUCAGAGAGGAUGGGAAAUGUUUAGUAGAUGCUUUUGCAUUUGAGAUCAAUAUGUGAUCUGUUGGUUAUAUUUUUAUCAUCUAUAUCUAUAUUUAGAUCCAUUCAUCUCCAACCUAUUCAGCACUGUCAGGGAUUGUUCUUUAAUUUAAUUAAAAUGUAUUGUGGCUCUCCACCUCCUAUGUCAUCCAAUAUAUUUCCCAUUAUUCCUUCAAUUGAAAUUGCUUCCUUCUUCUGUUGGAAACCAUUCUGACACUUCUUCAAAUGCAAGAAAAUAAAGGAGUUCAACUCCCCCCUCUCCUGUAAUUUUCAAUCCCCCCCUUUGCAACUUUCUCUGCAUUGAGAUUCACAGCAGUGACUGAAAACUAAGAAACCCAAUAGUGCUUAUUACUGCCUACGCAGCACUGAACUUGAUGGGGAUUCUGGGGCACUGCCCUAACAGCACAAAAGCAUUGACACAUUAUUCCUUUUGUAUAUCUAUGGGUUUUUGUUUUGUUUUGUUCAGAUUUAAUCCACACAAAGGGGAGACUCUGAAUAGGUGUCCUAUUUAUGGCAAAACGUAUAGCUCAAUUAUAAAGAUCUUUCCUCUUAUACCUUUUCAACUGAAUAUGAAGCGAAUGCACAAUAAAUUACAUCUGGUGGUCGAAAGGAUGAGAUAGGAAUUAGCUAGGGCAAACCCUUGUUUUAUCGGAGCAACGCCUGGCGACCAAUCAGUGGAAACCUACCACCUUAACUGCUUUGUACAUCUCAGAGCUGAUUCUCACAUUCUUUCAGAUUAGGGAUGGAGGAGGAAUUCCAGCCAUUUUGCAUUUAAAGGCAAACCUAUGGAACCCACAGUUUCUGAAAGAAUACAUGAACCGAAACACAGCCGUCCUUUGAAAUUUGCACACGGGUUGGCAAUAGGGUUGCCCUUUGGGGAUAAGUUUGUUAAGGGUGUUGUACUUUGCUAAGAUACCCCCUAUUCCCACCACAGAGCUACAACUGAAGGGGGGUUGAUUGUUAAACCGCUCUGGAAAUUAUAGCUGUGUGAGGGAAAUAAGAGUCUAUGAGGUGCUAUGAGUUGAUGGGCAAAUUCAAGACUUCUGCAGGUCUCCCUCCUUGGGAUUCUUUAUCUUCAAACAAUUCCGUAAGAGCUAUUUGACAGUGGGAUGGAUUGCCUUGGAAGGCAGUGGGCUCCUUCAUUGGAGGUUUUUAAACAGAGGUUGGAUUGCCAUCUGCCACAGAUUCUUUAGCUGUGAUUUCUGCAUUGCAGGAGUUUGGACUCGAUGACUGUUGGGGUCCCUUCCAACCCUACAGUUCUUUGAUGCUAGACUUGGAGAAGACAGUCCUUCACAUGUCUUCUGCCAAGUAGGAAACGUGUCCACCAUACUGACCAACUCCUUGGUUUGAUUCCAGUUCAGCUUGCAAUGACUUGAACCCCGCAAAACCCAAGCCUGAGAAUUGGGUCUCACUCCUGGGCAUCAACAACCAGUCAUUCCUACAUAAGGCAUCUCUUUGUCCACUAAUAGAGAUAUCUGGUGGUGACCCUGAACACCCUCUUCCUUCAGCAAAAACUUACAAGAGAACACAGCCAUCCAGGAAUGAUUAAAAUAACAGCUUGGCGCAUUCCAUAUGCUUAGCAGAUGAACUUGAUAAUGGCAAGCCUGUUUGCAUCUUGUCUUUGCUGCCUCAUAUGCCAUUAUUGACUGUCUAAUUGUUAUCUCGUCUGUUUGUUUUCUUCAUCAGUUGUCUCUAAUAAUAGCAGAUUGAGAUGGUGAGGUGGGGAAAGGCUGCUAUCUUUCCCAUGGAUUGCAGAGCUCUUCAGAUAACGGGAUGUUGUUCUCGGACUAGGACCAUGUUCCUGUUCUGUUUUUCUUUGGAUUUUCCAUAGAUGAAGAUGGGGGGUGGGGUGGAAUGCAGAGAGAUGGAUCUGCAGAGGCCUGCCUGCCUAGAGAAGGGGUUUUAUUCCUGCUGCCCUACACCUCACAGAGAUGGAAAGUUGUAACCCACCCUGAGACCUUAUUUAUUUAUUCGCUUCGCAAGAUUCAUAUACUGCCUGACAGUAAUAAAAACCUCACAUAAUGAAACCUCAAAACGGUUUACAAAAAUAAUAAAACAACAAGAUUACCAGUAAGAAACAGUAGAAAGAAAAAAGCCAACUACUUAAAACAUUCAGGAAAAUAAUUAAAACCGACAGUAAACU